rnacentral:lncRNA from 1 species
CUUAACACUGGGGAGUCGAGAAGUGCUUUAGGAAAUUUUCAAUAUCUGAUUUUGAUUUCAUUUUCACAGAUGUAUCUUUAAUUAUUUAAAAUCCUAUGAUCAAAAACUGAUAGACAAGCACAUUCAAACUGUUAAUACAAUGGAGACAACUGACAUGUUCCCACGUUAACUCACUCUUUACAGAAUUCAGAGUAAAGCUUUUCCUGCUUUAUUCAUGUGCUUGAACUUCUUAGAAGUGGGCUAUAAUUAGG